UGGGGAAUAUUGCACAAUGGGCGCAAGCCUGAUGCAGCCAUGCCGCGUGUGUGAAGAAGGCCUUCGGGUUGUAAAGCACUUUCAGCGAGGAGGAAGGCAGUCGUGUUAAUAGCACGAUUGAUUGACGUUACUCGCAGAAGAAGCACCGGCUAACUCCGUGCCAGCAGCCGCGGUAAUACGGAGGGUGCAAGCGUUAAUCGGAAUUACUGGGCGUAAAGCGCACGCAGGCGGUUUGUUAAGUCAGAUGUGAAAUCCCCGCGCUUAACGUGGGAACUGCAUUUGAAACUGGCAAGCUAGAGUCUUGUAGAGGGGGUUAGAAUUCCAGGUGUAGCGGUGAAAUGCGUAGAGAUCUGGAGGAAUACCGGUGGCGAAGGCGGCCCCCUGGACAAAGACUGACGCU
rnacentral:rRNA from 1 species